UACGGAGGGUGCGAGCGUUAUCCGGAUUUAUUAGGUUUAAAGGGUGUGUAGGCGGGUCAUUAAGUCAGUGGUGAAAUCUCAGAGCUCAACUCUGAAACUGCCAUUGAUACUGGUAACCUUGAGUACAGUUGAAGUAGGCGGAAUGUGUAAUGUAGCGGUGAAAUGCUUAGAUAUUACACAGAACACCGAUUGCGAAGGCAGCUUACUAAGCUGAUACUGACGCUGAUGCACGAAAGCGUGGGGAGCGAACAGG
rnacentral:rRNA from 1 species